AUAUUUGUUUGCUCUUUCAUUGAACUGAUUCUGUACAUGCAUGUUCUCAUUAAAUAUAUUGUUUGGUAACAGUGUAGGAACUCAAUCCGAAUACAGAGGGGCUCUGUGAACAAAAUUCCAACAUAAAUAAUGCACUUAUGUUUUGUGAAAUCUUUUGGUUACCUAUCAACUUACUUAUGUCGUACAUUGUAAGAGAAGUGCACAAAUGAAGAAACAAAGACAAACCAAAGGAUACUUUUGGUGAGUCUAUAGCUUAAUUCCUAUUAGUAUCCAUGAUACAAGUUGAAUCCUAGAUGUAGAAAUAGACUAGGAGGGUGAUUUGUUUACUGGGAAGGACCAACCAUGUUACAUGAAACGAUUUAUAUUUACUGAUCUAUCAACAGCCAAUUAUAGUUUAUAUAUAUGAAUAUGAUGAAUCAUUUGUGCGAACUGUUUAAAGUACACAAAAAAAGGUAGGGAAAAAGAUAUAUGUGCACCUAUAACAGAGUCCGUAUAAUGCAAGGGACCGAUACCAUGUAAGGGGUUGCUUUCUAUCCAAUAUUCUUUAUACUGGUUUGCCACUGAUGAUCCAAUCUAAAUUCUGACCUUGUUUGAAGGAAAAACUGCAUUCUCUAGAUUGAGUAUCACGUGGUUCAUGGACCUUAUAAAUCAAGUUUAAAAUUUUAUUUUGAGAAAUUCCUUCUUCAUAUCCUGAGUCAAAAUUGACUACUCUUACAUACACACUCUGACUUUGUUUACUAUAAUCAUUUCUAAUCCCAUUUAAAUUAUAAUUGACCCGUGAAUGUUUUCUCAUGCUGCAUGCCACCAUAUUGCUUGUUAUCUUUUCCAUCUUGUGACUCUGAAUUUUCAAACAGUUGAGGUAGUCUAGGAUUUUUUUAAGUGACAUAUGUAAGUGUAUUUGAGAUGAAUAGUGCGGUUGUUCAUUUUUGUUUUAACUUUAAUUUGCAGGUGCAACAAUUAUUACUCAUUAAGUCAAUGCCUUAUAACACACUAGGGAAAAGUUUAGCUUUCUCCUUGGAGUGUCCACUGGAUGGUGCAACGUAUCUUCCACUAUAGAAUUUUGAUCAAUUGGUUAAAGUGUCUCAUAUUACAACCAUUGACUAUGCAAGAUGUGCCGUGUUGAGUUGUGUACAAUCUUGCGACGAGCGAAGGGAGAUGUUGUUCCAGAUUCUAUUUCUUUUGGCUUUGGCAAAUCCUUAAAUUUCCUUUGUUCUCGAAAUGAGACAAUUCAUCCAUCAACAAGAGGAUAUUACCACCCCGUUUUUCUACAAGGUCUACUUUCAGAUGAGGGCAAGAAUUUAUGUUGCUUAAACAAGUUUGUUGAUCUCCUGCCACAUCUUGGAAAGAAUUAGAGUCCAGCAAUGAUUGCUCGACUACUGCUAAUGGCAAAUAUUGCAUCUGGAUAUAUGUUCAUGGGGACUAAGACUCCUUAUAUAUUUACCUCAUAAGUUGAUGGAUUGUCCUUCAUCAAGAGGUGGUUCCAGAAGUUUCAGUUUGGUAGGAGAUGAUAAUUAAGUGCAGUGCAUCAAAUUAUCAACACCCGCAUAUGAGAUAGUGAAGUGAUUUAUGCAAGUCAUGUUUACAAACAUUUAGUACAACAUUCGCGCUCCAAAUUUAUGUGGAAGUAUUCUGAUGAUCUGUUAAUCUCCACUAAAGGCAGAUGUUUGGACCAAACCCAAACCAAGUGAGGCAAAAGAGUUUUUGGGGCGUUUACACAAAGCUAAAGUAUUUAACAUGACCAAGUACGAGAAAGGUAAUUCAACAGUAGAAUUUAAAUUUGGACAGAAAAGAGAACAUGGAUAUGUUGUACAUUCUUAAGCUUUUUUGAGUGCUUUUCAACUUUGGCCAAGUGAACUAUUCAUCUUCUUGUGAAGUACACCAAUCUUUUUCCUCUUAUAUUAUAGUUGGUACAAAUGGUCAGCUAUAGCACCUUGCACGCAAUUUCAAGCUAUUUCCUUUUCAUGUUUUGUUUAUUUGACCUUCAUUGGUUAGAUUUAAGUGUCAUGUAAGGGGCGAACAUCUGUUUUAAUACUGAUGCAGUUACAUGUACAUUUGAGUGUACUAUUAUGGAUCUAAACCAUGAUUUAUAAAUUAAGAUAAAAGUUGUAGAGGAAUGAAUUGUAUAUCCAACAAAGAGAAAGAGAAACAAAUAUUGUCAUUAGUUUGCAUAGUCUGUUGAGAUAUGAGCACCAUAAGCACUGGCAAUUUAUUCUUCCU